GACGAACGCUGGCGGCAGGCUUAAUACAUGCAAGUCGAGGGGUAGCAGGGUAGCAAUACCGCUGACGACCGGCAAACGGGUGCGGAACACGUACACAACCUUCCUUUUAGUGGGGAAUAGCCCAGAGAAAUUUGGAUUAAUACCCCGUAACAUAGCGAUGUGGCAUCACAUUGUUAUUAUAGGUUUACCGCUAAGAGAUGGGUGUGCGGCUGGAUUAGGUAGUUGGCGGAGUAACAGCCCACCAAGCCAACGAUCAGUAGCUGAUGUGAGAGCAUGAUCAGCCAAACGGGAACUGAGACACGGGCCCGACUCCUACGGGAGGCAGCAGUAAGGAAUAUUGGACAAUGGACGCAAGUCUGAUCCAGCCAUGCCGCGUGAAGGAUUAAGGCCCUCUGGGUUGUAAACUUCUUUUAUAGGGGACGAAAAAAGGGCUUUCUAGCUCGUCUGACGGUACCCUAUGAAUAAGCACCGGCUAACUCCGUGCCAGCCGCCGCAGUAAAAC
rnacentral:rRNA from 1 species